rnacentral:rRNA from 1 species
UACGUAGGGUGCAAGCGUUAUCCGGAAUUACUGGGCGUAAAGCGCACGUAGGCGGCUUUUUAAGUCAGGGGUGAAAUCCCGGGGCUCAACCCCGGAACUGCCCUUGAAACUGGAGAGCUAGAAUCUUGGAGAGGCGAGUGGAAUUCCGAGUGUAGAGGUGAAAUUCGUAGAUAUUCGGAAGAACACCAGUGGCGAAGGCGACUCGCUGGACAAGUAUUGACGCUGAGGUGCGAAAGCGUGGGGAGCAAACAGG